rnacentral:lncRNA from 1 species
UUUACAACAGAAAUUAAACGAUUAAUAUUUAUACCUUAUAUGUAACAUUUAUGCCAAAUGUAGUUAUAGCUACAUGUACCUUGACAUAUGGUUAUGAGCAAAUAUUGCAUGUUUCAUUACAUUAAAAAGUUAAGCAUAUCUCUAUAUUGGGGAUAGAAGGAUAAGAAAUAACAUGUUGAAUUUCUAUUUUCAAAAGAGAUGAAAAGUCCUAUAUUGCGCCUAAGCCCGAUCAGACUUUUAUGAGUAGCCACAGUGCUGCAUGCGUUGAGAAGCAUUUUUUAACUUGUAUUAUAUUUCAUUAUUUGCUGUCAUUGGUUUUCUACUAGAGUAAGCACUCGCAAACAAAAUUACAUGAUGAAUUUUUCACGACAACAUGGGCUCAGGCACUUCUACAACCGAAGGCGAAGGUCGCUUAGGCGAUACCCAUGAAGAAUCCAAGUUUGUUUCCCUUUCCAGCAUACAAUGUGUCCCUUCCCGUAUUUUUGAAACACCUCUCACUGCAUCCGGUAUCAGGAAACAAAGAUGAAGGACUUGGCUACCAGAAAGCCCUUCAAGACCAAGUGUACCCCACCUCCCCACACUGUGAGCUAACGAUGUGCGGCUUCUUUGCGCAUAAGUAAAUGUCUUCACGUCAGUGCGUCCGUGGAAAUUGUGAUCUGUUGUAAUAUCAGUUACAGUGGCAGUAUUGAGAAUAAAUAGUUUAACAGGAAAAAAAAUUUAAGCACAAAGGGUUUUAAAGAUUUUAUGUUUUAAAUGGCAUUUUAGCACAGUAUUUAACGUUCUUGGUCACCGAGCUAUUUAAGUAGACUGUAUUUCAGCUUUGUCUCUUGUUUUAUAUGAUUAAGUUAUCAUUGUUUGUCCUUUGUGUACUCUCCUCCACAGUAUAACACCCUGAAACUGUAUCUACUUGCUGGGUUGCAAUAUUUUGCUGCUGGACUUUGACCUACUUGUAUUAUGCAGAAAGUUAAUUCAGAUACCUAUCGAGACGGUAACUGUAAAGACACUGUUAUCUCCUUAAAUAUGCUUACUUAUAUGUUACUCCUUAACAUGUACGUUGAUGUAGCAUCAUUUUGUGGAUAGGAAAAAAUUGUUUGACCUUCAGAUAUUUUCUACUUAAAAAAAAAAAAAAAACAAGUUGUGGAUGAACACCCUAUCUCCCUCCCACAAUGAAGUCCCCAUUACCUUGUCUAUAACAGUUUUUUAAAGUGUUCCGUGGCUGGUUUACUAACAGUAACUGCCAUUUCGUGUCCGUGGUAACAAAGUGACUUGUAAGAUGGUGGAUGUUUUCCUCACUGUGUUCUUCUCUUCAUGGGUUGUUUCCCUGUGGGUCAUAGUCAUACCUUCUGAUGAAGUUGAGCCAACACCAGCAAAGUGUAAUGGUCGUGCAGCCUCCGACUAUACUGAGACUGCACUCUAGGCUGAACCAUGCUGAAAGCCCAUGCUUAAAUAAAAAUUAUGUCUAAAAUCUGU